AGGACGAACGCUGGCGGCGUGCUUAACACAUGCAAGUCGAGCGGAAAGGCCUCUUCGGGGGUACUCGAGCGGCGAACGGGUGAGUAACACGUGAGUAACCUGCCUUUGGCUUUGGGAUAACCCUCGGAAACGGGGGCUAAUACCGGAUAUUCACUUCGGCUGGCAUCGGUUGGGGUGGAAAGUUUUUUCGGCCAGGGAUGGGCUCGCGGCCUAUCAGCUUGUUGGUGGGGUAAUGGCCUACCAAGGCGACGACGGGUAG
rnacentral:rRNA from 1 species